rnacentral:rRNA from 1 species
UCUAGAGUCGGGCCAGCGGCCGGGGGAGUACGAAAGGGGCGAGUGUUAAGCGGAAUUACUGGGCGUAAAGCGGGCUUAGGCGGUUUGCUAAGUCAGAUGUGAAAGCCCCGGGCUCAACCUGGGAACUGCAUUUGAAACUGGCAGGCUAGAAUGCAGUAGAGGGAGGUGGAAUUUCCGGUGUAGCGGUGAAAUGCGUAGAGAUCGGAAGGAACACCAGUGGCGAAGGCGGCCUCCUGGACUGACAUUGACGCUGAGGUGCGAAAGCGUGGGGAGCAAACAGGAUUAGAUACCCGAGUAGUC